rnacentral:lncRNA from 10 species
GGACAUACACAGGACUGGGAGAAAAUAGACUAAGGGUAUGGCACUGUCAGCGGAAGACUGUCAGAUCUCUGCAGCAUGACCCUCAUCCUUGUUCCCAACCUUUUCUGUCAGUCACUGUCUGCCUCCCUUUCUUUGGUUGGCUGCCCAUCAAUGACCUAUUAUCAUCAUUGCCAUAGAUCCCUGAGAAGCACUCCCCCUCCCACAGUUGCCAUUCCAAUCUUGCUACACAGUAUAAGAGCCCUCUUGGCUUCUGAGGGUUAAAUGUUGCCAUCCAGAAUGGUUAAAUGCCAUUCCAGAAUCGUGUCAUCCCCAAGACACUAAGGAGCCAAGUUCCAUGGCAGCAUCUCCUAGCCACAGAGCACAGCCACCACCAGCUUUCUAUGACACCAGUGCCCCCUCACGUCCACAUUCUGCAUUGCCUUAGUGAAGAGCGCCUCCUCUGGGCAGCUCCAUGAAACACCUUCUGGUCUCAUGUAAUAAAUCCGUUC